GUUUGAUCAUGGCUCAGAUUGAACGCUGGCGGCAGGCUUAACACAUGCAAGUCGAGCGGGGGAAGGUAGCUUGCUACUGGACCUAGCGGCGGACGGGUGAGUAAUGCUUAGGAAUCUGCCUAUUAGUGGGGGACAACAUCUCGAAAGGGAUGCUAAUACCGCAUACGUCCUACGGGAGAAAGCAGGGGAUCUUCGGACCUUGCGCUAAUAGAUGAGCCUAAGUCGGAUUAGCUAGUUGGUGGGGUAAAGGCCUACCAAGGCGACGAUCUGUAGCGGGUCUGAGAGGAUGAUCCGCCACACUGGGACUGAGACACGGCCCAGACUCCUACGGGAGGCAGCAGUGGGGAAUAUUGGACAAUGGGGGGAACCCUGAUCCAGCCAUGCCGCGUGUGUGAAGAAGGCCUUAUGGUUGUAAAGCACU
rnacentral:rRNA from 1 species